UACAGAGGGUGCAAGCGUUGUUCGGAAUUAUUGGGCGUAAAGCGCGUGUAGGCGGUGAUGCAUGUCGGGUGUGAAAGCCCUCAGCUUAACUGAGGAAGUGCGCCCGAAACUGCAUCGCUGGAGUGUCGGAGAGGAAGGCGGAAUUCCUGGUGUAGCGGUGAAAUGCGUAGAUAUCUGGAGGAACACCGGUGGCGAAGGCGGCAUCCUGGACCAACACUGACGCUGAGGAGCGAAAGCCAGGGGAGCAAACGGG
rnacentral:rRNA from 1 species